ACUCCUACGGGAGGCAGCAGUGGGGAAUAUUGCACAAUGGGCGCAAGCCUGAUGCAGCCAUGCCGCGUGUGUGAAGAAGGCCUUCGGGUUGUAAAGCACUUUCAGUUGUGAGGAAGGUGGUGUCGUUAAUAGCGGCAUCAUUUGACGUUAGCAACAGAAGAAGCACCGGCUAACUCCGUGCCAGCAGCCGCGGUAAUACGGAGGGUGCGAGCGUUAAUCGGAAUUACUGGGCGUAAAGCGCAUGCAGGUGGUUUGUUAAGUCAGAAUGUGAAAGCCCGGGGCUCAACCUCGGAACUGCAUUUGAAACUGGCAGACUAGAGUACUGUAGAGGGGGGUAGAAUUUCAGGUGUAGCGGUGAAAUGCGUAGAGAUCUGAAGGAAUACCAGUGGCGAAGCGGCCCCCUGGACAAAGACUGAACGCUCAGAUGCGAAAAGCGUGGGGAGCAAACAGGAUUAGAUACCCUGGUAGCACAGAG
rnacentral:rRNA from 1 species